rnacentral:rRNA from 1 species
AUAUGAAGUCGGAAUUGCUAGUAAUCGCAGAUCAGCAUGCUGCGGUGAAUACGUUCCCGGGCCUUGUACACACCGCCCGUCACACCAUGAGAGUCGAUAACACCCGAAGCCUGUAGUCUAACCAUAAGGGGGACGCAGUCGAAGGUGGGAUUGAUAAUUAGGGUGAAGUCGUAACAAGGUACC